AGCCGGGGACCGGGACACAGCGACACCUACAGGGGACGGGGACAAGCUGUGGCAGAGCGACAUCUGGCGGGGACGAAGCCCAGCGACAGCCCGAGGCACCGGGGACAUGAAGGUACAGGGAGCAAGUACGUGGCGCGGACACCUCCCUGCUUCUGCCUGCCUCGGGCACUGGAUCUGUAUCAAUAAGAAUGCGACUUCACAAUCCCCGUCUGCUACUCGGCCGGAGGGCAUGCUCCAGCAGAGAUAAUCAUUGUGUACUUCUGCUUUCUACCAAAGCAAUGGUAGAUAUGGAUACAGCCAUAGAAGGAAAUGUGUGGUGGGAGUUAGAGCUGUACAAUUCGGAAACUUAAAAGAAAGUCUAGGCACUGCAGUAUAAAUUUGCAGAUAAUAUUGUCACUCCGCACGCCCCCUAAAAUCCAAUUUUGAUGAGCCUGUGCGAAUUGUGCCUCAGUUUCCUGUUCCUUAGCUGACAGGAGUGGUACCUGGUGUGGUCUUCUGCUGCUGUAGCCCAUCUGCUUCAAGGUUCGACGUGUUGUGUGUUCAGAGAUGGUAUUCUGCAUAUCUUGGUUGUAACGAGUGGUUAUUUGACUUACUGUUGCCUUUCUAUCAUCUCAAACCAGUCUGCCCAUUCUCCUCUGGCCUCAACAAGGCAUUUUCGUCCACACAACUGCCGCUCACUGGAUAUUUUCUCUUUUUCGGACCAUUCUCUGUAAACCCUAGAUAUGGUUGUGCGUGAAAAUCCCAGUAGAUCAGAAGUUUUUGAAAUACUCAGACCAGCCCGUCUGGCACCAAUAACCAUGCCACGUUCAAAGUCACUUAGAUCCCCUUUCUUCCCCAUUCUGAUGCUCGGUUUGAACUUCAGCAAAAAGUCUUCACCACGUCUAGAUGCCUAAAUGAAUUGAGUUGCUGCCAUGUGUUUGACUGAUUAGCAAUUUGUGUUACCAAGCAAUUGAACAGGUGUACCUAAUAAAGUGGCCGGUGCGUGUG